AAAAAACGAGUAGCAGCCGACUCAGAAACUAUCUAUAUAAAUUAUUCCAAUUACUGGCGGAGGUCAAACCAGAACACCGCACAUAAUUGCGUAAACGCGCUUUGGAUUCUCUCUCCUCUUUUUUUCCAACUGUUUCUUCGAUUCCGAUCAACGUUGAUUUUGUCUCCGUCUCUCUAUAUCUCCGGUAAGAUCUUUGAUUACCCGUGUUUUCUCAAGGAGAGACACCGUCAAAACCAGAAAAACAAAAGAAAAAUAAUCACGAUCUGGGGUUUCGAUUUUUUUUCCAAUCAAUUUCAUUUUUUUUUCCAAUUAAUCGUAUACGGUAUUUUCCAUGUAUUUGUUUGAUUGCUGAAUAGAUUUGAAGUACCUAGGUUUUGUUUUGUUUUUUUUAAAGAAAAACAGGAAAUUGAAUUGAAUUAGGGUUUGUGUUUGGGUAUCUGGAAAAAGUUGUUUUGUUUGUUUCCUUGUGAAUUUUGAUUGAGAAGAGUUGUGUGUUGUGGUUGUUGAUAAUAUGGCGGCAGGGCGGCUCGAUGUGUCCAGGAGGCGGGGUGGUGGUGGUUAUUUUGAUGAGGUGAAGCGGGGUGGUGAUCGUGGUUUGGUACGGAAAAAUGGGUAUCAUAGUUCAACGAUUGUGCCUAGUUUUGAUUUUAGACGAAGUGGGUUUAGUUGUAGAGAUGAAGAACGACAGUCAGGGGAGCCGUGGCAAUUUAAUGCCUUCUGUUCCUCGAAGUAUGAGGAAGGUGAGAUACCAGCAAAUGAAGAUGGGGUUCAAUUGCCCGCAGAGAAGAAAAGGAAGUUUUCUCCUAUUGUAUGGGAUGUUGAGGAGAAAAAAGCGAAGAUUUCUUCAAAGAAUAGAGUUGUUCAGGGGAGUAGUACUCGGGAUUUAAAUGUUGUUUCAGACGAGGAUGUUGUGAAAAGUCCUGUCAAAGGAGGAUUGGAGCUUGUGGUGGACAAGGAUUGUGUGGAUGGAGGAUCAGCUGAUGGUAUUGGAUCUGAGUAUCCAGCGCCUUUGUCUCCUUCAUUGCAUCCAAAGAAAGAUGGGGGUUAUGACCAAGAGCAGGGACAAGUGGAGGAGGAAGAGCUUCCUGAAGCACGGAAUAUAGCCAUGUCCCGGUGGGCUUCUGAUGAUGAUUCUCCAAGGGAUACCACUUUGAUUGAUGAUAAAGGAAUGCAUGGAGAAAUGGUGUACAGGACAGAUUUGAUUAAUAGAGAAGGGUUCCAGAGAGAAGUCUCAGAUAGAGAUGGAUCAAGUUCAUCUCUAUCGGAUGAAAGAGGUUACAGUGGCAGCUCUGCUUCGGAAUAUGAAUUGCAAAAUGAUGUCAUGGACAUUGAUGAUAUUAGGGAUGAAAAUGCCAGUGAUAAUGAGAUGGAGCAAGCCGCUGGUGAAGAGCCCACAGUUACUAACCAAAGGGGGUUUAAUAUGCUAGAGGGUUGUAGAAGUGUGUUCGAGUAUGAAAGACUCAAUGAAAUCAAUGAAGGAACCUAUGGUAAAGUGUACAAAGCCAGGGAUAAGAAGACUGGAGAAUUUGUGGCUUUGAAGAAAGUGAAGAUGAAUGUCGGAAGAGACAAAUACUUGGAAGAGUAUGGUUUCCCCUUGACAUCUUUGAGGGAGAUUAACAUUCUUAUGUCUUUUGAUCACCCUUCAAUUGUGAGAGUUAAAGAAGUUGUGAUGGGGGACCUUGAUAGUGUCUUCAUGGUGAUGGAGUACAUGGAACAUGAUCUCAAGGGGCUGAUGCAAGCGAUGAAGCAGCCUUUCAGUACAAGUGAAGUCAAAUGCUUAAUGCUACAGCUUUUGGAAGGUGUCAAAUAUCUUCAUGAUAAUUGGGUGCUUCACAGGGAUUUGAAGACAUCAAACCUUCUUUUCAAUAACCAGGGAGAGUUGAAAGUAUGUGAUUUUGGGAUGUCACGCCAGUAUGGUAGCCCAUUGAAGCCAUAUACCUCUCUGGUGGUUACUUUGUGGUACAGGGCACCAGAACUUCUUCUUGGAGCAAAGAAAUACUCUACAGCAGUUGAUAUGUGGUCAGUGGGUUGCAUAAUGGCUGAAAUGUUGACCAAGGAACCCCUAUUCACAGGGAAAGGUGAAAUUGAUCAGCUUGACAAGAUCUUCAAAACUCUUGGCACACCAAACGAGACUAUUUGGCCUGGGUUAUCAAAAUUGCCAGGGGCAAAAGCAAAUUUUGUUCAGCAACCGUAUAAUCAAUUACGGAAGAAGUUUCCUUUCACACCUUUCACAGGAUCUCCAGUUCUCUCUGACUCAGGAUUUGACUUGCUAAACAGACUCCUAACUUAUGAGCCAGAUAAGCGAAUAACAGCAGACGACGCUCUUAAUCAUCCCUGGUUUAAUGAGGUCCCACUAUCAAAAUCAAAAGAAUUCAUGCCUACUUUCCCUCCUCAGUAUGCAAAGAACAGGUAGCUGAUAGACUGGAUGACAAGAAGCAGUACACAACUGAGAAAAAUUUCGUGAACCUCUUACCUUUUCUUCACUAUUUCCCAGAACAGGGCUUCUUGUUGUGUGCCUUUUUCUCAACUUGUACUCUGACUCUUAGGCCUAAUCAAAGAACAAUGAAGUGUCUAGAUUCCAGGAGCAUUGGUGAAGGAAGGCAGUACCAGGUGUUAUCUGGCACAUAUUGGUGGAUAUCAUCCUUUGGGAUUUACAUCCUUUUUUGUAAUGAUCCUGCAGUCCUUGACCCGCAAGGUCCUGAGUAUUGACCUUUUUCUUUGUCUUCCAUUGUUUCUGUUCUCUUUUAAUCAGCUUGAGUUCAGAAUGAGUGUAAAUAUCUCUCAACUCAGUUAUAAAUGAUUAGAUUUAUUCAUACAUAUCUUUUCAUUUAGUGCUAAACUGUUAUUCAAUCUAUUUUCUUGUAUAUUCAAACUUUGCUUGCUAGAGAGAACUGAUGUAAGGCAAUGGAUUGGGGCGCUGAUAUUUCUGGUCACUUGUAAGCUUCCUUCAAUGAUGGCUGCUAUAGAAUUUGCAACUACUCAGCUACCGUGUUUCUCAAGUUCUUUUGGUUGGAUGUUCAGCCGGUAUGUGAAUAGAAUGUGGAAAGGUUAACCCCCUUGCUCUUUUUUUCUACUCCAUCCUCGCUUGUUAGUCUGUUCUGGCUGACUUGUAUUUCUUGAUCCUAGAUCAUUUUGUACACGCAUCCUUUUCUUUGCAAAAAUGUGCUCCCGUGCAGGUUUGGAGGAAUAUCCCCAGCUCCCUCCAUACCCACCUGUUCAUGCGCGUGGGAGUAGAAGGGGUUUAAUGUUGCAGAACAUAAAAAGAAUUGCACAUGCAUUUACCUCCCAUGUGCUCUGCUUUCCCACUCUACUUCACAAAUUCUUGGAUUCUUGUCUCUCGAUUCUUUGGGCUUUUGAGUUCCAGCAGCGUUUAAUAUCGAGAAGACUGCCAAACGUGUUGUGGCCUAAUGUUUGAGGAAGCAAGCAAUAUGUGAAUGCCCAAUUGUUCAUUUGGACGUUUCAGUUCAAUCUUCUCUGUUUCUUUACCAGGAAUAAUGUUCUGAUCAUUUUGUGAUGAACACAGCUCAAAAAUACUUUGAAAUCAAUGACAUUUAUUAAUACAGAGGUAUUUUUCUCCCGAAACAUAUGCUUCUUCUGACUUUGAAACACGAGCUUAUUUUGCUUCACUUGAACACCAACAUGGGGCAUGGUUUUGCUUUCGACAGAACAAACAUCACAGAAGUGCAGUAGCACCAUUUGUCAAUGAGUAUUCUUGUUCGCGGAGCCAUUAAGUAGAGGAGCGAUAAUCCUGAAUGCUCAAUGAUGUCAAAACUCCUCUUAAGCUCGUUACCUGCGGAGGCCGUAUGUAGGGGGAGCGAUAAAUCUCCAGUCCUGAAUGUUCAUUCACCUGUUAUGCUUUAUCAAUGGACGAGGGAGUUGUAAAAUCGAUGUCCCAUGUAAAUCAGCCAUUUAUAUGGACUGAAGAUGUUAUGUUAUAAAAACUUAGAUGAUCUUAAAUGAGAAAUGGGGCCAAAAAUUUAUAUGAACCGA